UUUUUUUUUUCUUUUUUACUUCUCCUUUCUUCUCUUUGUUGUCAUUUUCGUCCUUGCCUUGUCAUGCCCUAUCGUCUACUCCUCAUUCCCUUAUUUUUCAAUCCUUCUCUCUUCCUUAGCCUUCCUGGUAGAUCGUUCGUUGCCUCCGGCGCCGCGGUGGACAUCAUCAAACAGGAGCGAUCAUCACUAAUUACGGACAUCAGCGCUGGACGCGGUGCUCUCCGCAAGCCUGACGUUUUUAGGGACCACAUCUAGAGGUAAUUUCGGUGCGUGUUGGUCACCUCGUCUGUUUCUCUCCGUCCUUUCUUCUUUGCUAAUUUACGGAUAUAUAUUUCUUCUUAGCUUUCUCCUUUAUUCCUGUAUUCUUCUGCUAUAUACUUGGUGUACUUUUGUAAUUUAGGGCUUCACCCUAUUUUCUUUUCUUUGUAAUCUUUUUUUGCCUCCUUUCUUUCUUACUUUCUCACCUUCUUUUCUUUUUGUGUGCAGUGAUACCAUCAAUGACAUGUCACUAAAAUAGGAUAUGGUUUCUUCAGUUUUCUCUCUUUCCUUUUAUUUCUCCACUUCUCGUUUAUUUCUGCAUUGUUUCUUCCUUCUCCUCUUUGUCAUAGUCUCCUCUCCUCUCCUCUCCUCCACUUUGUCUCUUUAACUAAUUUUUCGUAUGAUCACAUCACUCUUGACAUGGAGUGUGGACUUGUCUUUUGGCAAGAGUCCCCUUCCUCUUUCCUGCCGACUUUCAUCUCUCCAGAUGAGGAACAAGCUUCCUGCUUUUCUGCAAUUUAUGCAAGACAGACAGAUUGUCCCUUCUCCAUCGCUUCCCUCCCCUUUUGGAAGACGGACACACCCCUGAACCCCUUAUCUCAAUGAAGAGAAUCCACCUCACUCUGACAAGAGUAGCCCCAAACCCAGAUAUUUCAACAUCUGUGCAAAAGGUUUUGAUUACACCAAAACCCCAGGAGAUUGUUUGAAUAUUUCCUUCGGAGAUUCAAACCCAUCGGAGCCCAGCACACCAAUCCUCCAAGAACGCUGAAAAAGCACGGGACCACCACAGCUCCUGUACGCUAUUCAUACAGCUCGAUGAAGAGCUGUCUCGCAGCCUCCUUUUCCACCUGCAUGAUGAUGGCAAGCUCUUGCUUCUCCAUUCUGGCAAACAAGUUCUGCCAGGAUAGAGCAAGAACCUCUUUAUGCAGGGGCAGAGAUCUCCAGCUAGGCAGACGUUCUGCAGUUUGUCACCAACGACACAGCCCACGUGCUACAAAGCAUGUCCUUUCAUCAGGGAAGACUCUUCCCUAAUCAAAUUCAGCAUCCCUGUAACAAAUCCCCAAUCUAUUCCGUACCACUCAGAGGGAAGGAUCACUGCCACAGUACGCAGACAUUGCCCAACCACAACAACAUUCCUCAUUAAUGGGGCGGGGGGGGGGGGGAGAAAAUAAAAUAAAAAUAAGAAAAAUAUGUACAGUCUCCCUUUCUCCAUGCCGGUAAAGCCGAUUUCGUAGCCGUGGGAAGAUAUCCUACCACUAAUUGAAGCCUCAGGGCACUAUCUUUCGCAUGCCCACACAGCUCUGCCCGCCCUCGUUCACAUUCAGCACCUGCCCCGGCCCUGCAGGCAGCGGCCCCGCGGCCACAGCACCUCCCUAAGGAGCACCAAGGACAGGAAUAACUUCUGCUGCUACAUCUGUAGCUUCUGCACACAAACCAAGGCUCAAAACAUUGUUAAAUAUGAUUGUGCUACUGACCUGCUUAUGUUCCUGCUUUAUUGAUCUUCGCAGUGCCUCCAGUUCAUAUGGAAACUUGCUGCUGUGGGCAGUCAGGCUUUCUGUGGGCAUAAAUGAUGUCUUGAUUCCAGAUCCAUCCCUGAUGCCAUUUUUGUCUGGCCUAUGCCAUCAAUGCAAAGAUGAAUUCUUCCUACUCUGUCUUUGUAACUUACCUGUAUUUUCGUAUCACAACCAGCAACAGGGUUUUCUCCUCGAGGAAGGCAUUCAGACCAUUUAUAUUUCAUAUCCCAAAACCUGGUGGAACUAGGCUUUGAAGAUAAAGAGUGGUCCUCCUCUCCAGUGCUUCUGUCGAGGGGAGCAGCCCACGGUAAACAGCAAAAGGAGCCUCGGGCAGGCACUGCUGCCACCGAGGACUUGAGUUUAUUAAAUCCAUUAGCACAUAAUUUUCUCAUUCCUAAUACCCACGCGAAUUUUGUUCUACUCUUCCUUAGACUAGGUUUGCAGAUUCACACUCACCAGGUAAACAGACACAGGCAAAUCUAUCAAGUAGAACAGCAUUUGUUAACUUCUUCCAGGUGCAGGCAACAGAAUUGAUCCUAUUGCAUAACAGAGGACUGGCAAGAAAAUCCUGCACAACAUAAUUUUUGUCAGGUUGAUCUGGAGACAUGUUCACAAACUCAUGAAUUUCCUGGAAUUUUCUGGCAGUUUGUUUUAAUCUCUGUAGCAAAAGGAAAUAGAGUAGUUCGGGUAGAGGUCACUGUCUUGACUCACGGAUGGGAAGAGAUGCUGGGGAUGAUCUUCUAUCAACAAAUCAAUCAUGUUUGCUCCAUGUGAAUCCAGGACAAGAGGUGUUUAAGCAGGACAGAUUUUGUUUUUUGGUUAGGGUUUCUUUUUUGUUUGUUUGGGUUUUUAGUCUGGUUAUGUUUUGGGUUUUUGUUUGUUCCGUUGGUUUUGUUUUUAUUUUUGUGGUGAGUUUGUUUCAGUUGAUUGAGGGUUUUCCCCCUACUUACCUGUUGCCUAAAUUAAUUCACUUACCUGGAAUAAGUAGGUCUUCUCUGGAGAGGUAUUUCAUGCCGUGUUCAUGGAGGUGAAAAUGUAAUGUCGAUGUCAGCAAAUUUGAUCUACAAGUAUCUUAAGAGCCGUACUAAGUUAGGAUUGCUGUAUGUUAAAUGUAGCAGGAUAUUUUAAAUCAGUAAAACAGCUGUUAAUGAGGUGACAAGCACUGACGUCGAGGACAUAGGACCCGGUGUCCUUUUUUAUUUUGGUCUGAACACCUGUCUGUAUAAUUUUCAUAUCCAUCAAGUAGCAGCUUCACUAAAUGGUUCCACAACCAUAUAAGCCAAAUAGCUGAGCUUAGAUGGAAAUAAAAAUGUUUCUAAACUCGAAGACAGAGUCAAAGACUCCAAGAUCACCUACAGGAAGAGUUGUUUCUUGAUUAAUCGGAUCCAGUCCAUGCGGGAUUCUCACACUGAUGAAAUUCAGCUACUACCUGAGUAGCAGUGGGGUAGGAGGUGAUAUUGGAGAAUCCUUAGGCACUGCAGCGUUGCAUUACUACCACAGAUGCCUUUUAUACCCCCUGCACCUAUAAGGGGAACACACAACGGUCAUAAGAAAAAGCAGAAAUGCAAAAAGCACACGAGUUGGUGGAAGGCUUGGUUUAGCUAUUUCAGCUUUGGUCAGCCUCAGAGCAUUCUCAGUGCUUCUGACUAAGCAGCAAGACGUGCGGAGUGGUGAUCCACAGUGAGGAUCUGUAGGAAAAAAUCAGUAUAAACGACUAAUCUUAACAUCCUGAAAGCCCACCAAGUGCCUGAGCGUUACUUUGAGCCUCCUUCAUUUGGCAGGAAUGGACGAGAGCCUGGUUAAAGUCUUGAAAAAUAAUAACACGUGUUUCUACACCCCAAGUUCAGAGCUCAUGGACUGCACUCUUAGAAAAGCAAGUACAGCCCAGUGGCAAACACAAAUCAAAAGGUCCUUCUCCUAUUGUUCUUUAGCGAGUGGAGAAACACACAGACUUUUCGAGGGGUGUUUGGAAUGCUCUGUUUAGACCCGCACUGAAAUUAGAUCAUUACUCCAGUUACACUUGGAGACCAGGCACGGAGAAUUGGCAAGAGAAGGAGAAGCUGCAGCAGCUCCGGCAGAAUCGCUCCUGCCACACAGGAUGGAAAGAACCUUCCAGCCCCACCUUCCCAGGAUGGAAAGUACCGCACAGCAGCUCCACAUCGGCCGCCUCAAGGCAACUGUCUCCGUCGACGAGGAUCCGAAAACAAAAGCCCAUUCCCUCCAGAAGGGCAGACGAGUCCCGAACUCGCAUCGUGGGAUUUGUCUUUGUGUCGUUCUCACCUCUUUGGCGCAGUUCAGUGGUUAGAGCACCGCACAGAAAAGCCGGGUCUGAUUUCAAAGCCUCCUGAGGCCGAAAGCUCUUCUAUCAUUCAAGAGUACCCUAAGCACCGAGAAAAGAACUGCUCACAGGCACCCAUCGGUCUUUCAGCGAGGCAUUCCUCCCUGGACAAUACGAGCGGGGGACGAGGAAGGAGAUGCCGUGAUGGCUCAGCGGCUGGAGCACCCACGCCGCGGCGUUUAGUCUUCGCUUCUGCUCAUCACCUGCAGCAGUCACCGAAUAGAAGGGGUCAGGCUCAGAGAGCGCGGCACGGACACCAAACCCGGCCCCUUCCCCCUCUGUCUCCGGGAUCUGGCACAGCUGAAGUCCCGACCUUCGGCAAGCUGCUGGCGAUGCUGGUGACCGGACCCGCGGUGGGCCCUGAGCUGUCCCGCUCUCCCGGGGACCCAGCGCCUUGUCAGCUCCUUCAUUCCGCAGAGGCCCAGCUCCCGGCUUGGCCGUAUUUCCACACCUCAAUCCGCAGGAAGAGAAGAGCGGCGCCACUCGGAAAGCGCGUUAAUAAAAUAUACCAAAAAAAAUUAUUAAUAGUAAAAACAAUAACAGCCACUGCCAAGCCACUCCCCAGGCACUGCGUCCCUCCCGGGGGCGCACGGAGCCCCUCAGGCCCGAGGAGUGGGUGGAGCCCGCUUCCCUCCGCCUCCCUCCGCCUCCC
rnacentral:lncRNA from 1 species